rnacentral:tRNA from 1 species
UCGGAGGUCGUCUAGUGGUAGGACAUUAGGUUCUGGUCCUAAGAACGGGGGUUCGAAUCCCUCCCUCCGAACCA